rnacentral:rRNA from 1 species
UACCAGACUCCUACGGGAGGCAGCAGUGGGGAAUAUUGCACAAUGGGGGGAACCCUGAUGCAGCGACGCCGCGUGAGUGAAGAAGUAUUUCGGUAUGUAAAGCUCUAUCAGCAGGGAAGAAGAUGACGGUACCUGACUAAGAAGCCCCGGCUAACUACGUGCCAGCAGCCGCGGUAAUACGUAGGGGGCAAGCGUUAUCCGGAUUUACUGGGUGUAAAGGGAGCGUAGACGGCAGGGCAAGUCUGGAGUGAAAGCCCGGGGCCCAACCCCGGGACUGCUUUGGAAACUGCCAUGCUGGAGUGCUGGAGAGGUAAGUGGAAUUCCUAGUGUAGCGGUGAAAUGCGUAGAUAUUAGGAGGAACACCAGUGGCGAAGGCGGCUUACUGGACAGUAACUGACGUUGAGGCUCGAAAGCGUGGGGAGCAAACAGGAUUAGAUACCCUGGUACA